UACAAUUGUAUUUCUAGAACUCCAGACUAGGAGACUAUAAACAGUAGUCUAUUGGAACACCAUUAGCAUGACUUUUAAGCACAGUAAUAGAGGUGAGUAUUAUUAGCAUCCAACCCAAAAACAAAUCUUUGGCCUGUCAUCCUGAAAGCCCACUGCUGGCUUGAAGGGAAGGUAAACCUGGUAAGCAAACUAAAUCUAAAUGUUCUUGUAUGCCAAAAGUUUGGAGUGACCAGCAAGAGGCCAAUAGAUGUGGGGGUGGGGAAGAAUAUUCUCAUUCCUGUGGUAUGUUGCAGUUCCGGCAUGUUCAGAACAACUUGAUGAGAAAUUCUACAACAGAAAAAAUCGAACCAAGAGAACUGGACCCCAUCCUGACUGAGGUCACCCUGAUGAAUGCCCGCAGUGAGCUAUACUUACGCUUCCUCAAGAAGAGGAUUAGCUCUGAUUUUGAGGUGGGAGACUCCAUGGCCUCAGAGGAAGUAAAGCAAGAGCACCAGAAGUGUCUGGACAAACUCCUCAAUAACUGCCUUUUGAGCUGUACCAUGCAGGAGCUAAUUGGCUUAUAUGUUACCAUGGAGGAGUACUUCAUGAGGGAGACUGUCAAUAAGGCUGUGGCUCUGGACACCUAUGAGAAGGGCCAGUUGACAUCCAGCAUGGUGGAUGAUGUCUUCUACAUUGUUAAGAAGUGCAUUGGGCGGGCUCUGUCCAGCUCCAGCAUUGACUGUCUCUGUGCCAUGAUCAACCUCGCCACCACAGAGCUGGAGUCUGACUUCAGGACAUCCAGCGCGGGGUGACAAGUGCCGUGAACAUCAUGCACAGCAGCCUCCAGCAAGGCAAAUUUGACACAAAAGGCAUCGAGAGUACUGACGAGGCGAAGAUGUCCUUCCUGAGUGACUGCACCAAGCUCUUCAGCCAGGGCAUUGGAGGGGAGCAGGCCCAGGCCAAGUUUGACAGCUGCCUUUCUGACUUGGCCGCCGUGUCCAACAAAUUCCGAGACCUCUUGCAGGAAGGGCUGACGGAGCUCAACAGCACAGCCAUCAAGCCACAGGUGCAGCCUUGGAUCAACAGCUUUUUCUCCGUCUCCCACAACAUCGAGGAGGAAGAAUUCAAUGACUAUGAGGCCAACGACCCUUGGGUACAACAGUUCAUCCUUAACCUGGAGCAGCAAAUGGCAGAGUUCAAGGCCAGCCUGUCCCCGGUCAUCUACGACAGCCUAACCGGCCUCAUGACUAGCCUUGUUGCCGUCGAGUUGGAGAAAGUGGUGCUGAAAUCCACCUUUAACCGGCUGGGUGGUCUGCAGUUUGACAAGGAGCUGAGGUCACUCAUUGCCUACCUUACCACGGUGACCACCUGGACCAUCCGAGACAAGUUUGCCCGGCUCUCCCAGAUGGCCACCAUCCUCAAUCUGGAGCGGGUGACCGAGAUCCUCGAUUACUGGGGACCCAAUUCCGGCCCGUUGACGUGGCGCCUCACCCCUGCUGAAGUGCGCCAGGUGCUGGCCCUGCGGAUAGACUUCCGCAGUGAAGAUAUCAAGAGGCUGCGCCUGUAGCUGCCUGGAUGAGCACACCUGGCUCAUCACACUUCCAGGCCUGUUCCCUAAGGGGCCCCAGCCAAGGAGCUGAGCGAGGCUGUCUGGCUUGGGGGAGAUCUGACAGCCCAGACCUUUCUACGGCUGGCAGCAGAGAAACAAAAUCUGGACCCACUCCAUGCUCUGCCCUCAGACCUGGCCAGGUGAUGCUCUGGGGGCAGCAUCUCCCCACCGAGAGAAGCGGGCUCCUAAUGAGGUAGGAAAGCCACGGCAGGCAGCGAGCAGCCCAGGCCAGCUUUCUGCAUGGAUGGUCAGUCUCUUGCCCUCAAACACUACAGCAAACAAGCUACCCCUGCCAGCCCUAGACAACUUGGGUACAUCUGGGGACCUAGCAGUUAGGCUUGACUUUGAGGAGAGGCUGUGAUGUUUAUGAUCCCUGAAUAAAGCUACUCC
rnacentral:sRNA from 1 species